rnacentral:rRNA from 1 species
UAGUCCACGCCGUAAACGAUGUUCACUCGCUGUUUGCGAUAUACUGCAAGUGGCCAAGCGAAAGCAUUAAGUGAACCACCUGGGGACGUACGUUGGCAACAAUGAAACUCAAAGGAAUUGACGGGGACCCGCACAAGCGGUGGAACAUGUGGUUUAAUUCGAUGAUACGCGAGGAACCUUACCUGGACUUAAAUGUACGUUGCAUAGAGUAGAGAUAUUCUUUUCUUCGGACUACGUACAAGGUGCUGCAUGGUUGUCGUCAGCUCGUGCCGUGAGGUGUCGGGUUAAGUCCCAUAACGAGCGCAACCCCUAUCGUUAGUUACCAUCAGGUUAUGCUGGGGACUCUAGCGAAACUGCCUGUGCAAACAGAGAGGAAGGUGGGGAUGACGUCAAAUCAGCACGGCCCUUACGUCCAGGGCUACACACGUGUUACAAUGGCAUAGACAGAGGGCAGCUACACGGCGACGUGAUGCGAAUCUCGAAACUAUGUCUCAGUUCGGAUC